rnacentral:sRNA from 1 species
AGAUCGCUCCACUUGUGUUUUCGUCCCGAGCCCGCGGGGCCGUAGACACCGGUGACGCGCAGGCUCGUCGUGACGAAACUGUGGUCGGUCAUCGAUUUCAAGGCGUUCUCGGUGGCGAGCUUUACCUGUCCGUAGAACGUGUCCGGCUCGACAGGUGACGUCUCAGCGACAACCGGCGG